AACGAACGCUGGCGGCAGGCUUAACACAUGCAAGUCGAACGAGAUCUUCGGAUCUAGUGGCAGACGGGUGAGGAACACGUGGGAACAUCCCUUUCAGUUCGGAAUAACGUUGGGAAACUAACGCUAAUACCGGAUACGUCCUUCGGGAGAAAGAUUUAUCGCUGAAAGAUUGGCCCGCGUCCGAUUAGCUAGUUGGUGAGGUAAUGGCUCACCAAGGCUACGAUCAGUAGCUGAUCUGAGAGGAUGAUCAGCCACAUUGGGACUGAGACACGGCCCAAACUCCUACGGGAGGCAGCAGUGGGGAAUAUCGGACAAUGGGCGCAAGCCUGAUCCAGCCAUGCCGCGUGAGUGACGACGGCCUUCGGGUUGUAAAGCUCUUUUGUCCGGGAAGAUAAUGACUGUACCGGAAGAAUAAGCCCCGGCAAACUUCGUGCCAGCCGCCGCGGUAA
rnacentral:rRNA from 1 species